AUGCCCUUGUUUAAAAACUUUAAAACCGUGAGGAUGCAUAGCUGCAGUUUUUUCCAACUCGUGAGGCCAUCCUCGGCACUUUCAUACUUAGCAUUUAACUCAGAAUUUUUUCUUCUUUUUCCUUAAUGAACGAUAACCUGUUUACUUAUAUAAAACACUCAAAAGCACAGAUUAGUCAUUAAGCAUAAUCAUAAUCUUUAAUAAAUUUUGUUAUCAUUAAAACCAAUUGAGAGAGAUUUUGUCUCAAC
rnacentral:lncRNA from 1 species